AUCUUUUUAGUAUUAAGUUAGUAUACGUGACUUCCAAUCACUAGGACUUGGUUAAACUCCAAGAAAAGAUA
rnacentral:tRNA from 1 species